rnacentral:lncRNA from 1 species
CCCGGCCACCCAGGCCUGCCCCUCUGGCCACUACUGCCCUGGAGGAAGUGAGACCCACUCGGGAGCUCCCCAGGCCUGCCCUGAGCAUACCUACCUGGCAACAGAUGGAGGCCAUAGUCAGGCGGAGUGCCUCCCCUGCCCUGCUGGGUACCACUGCCCAUGGCCAGGUCUCUCUUCCUUUGAAGACCACCCAUGUCCUCCGGGCCACUGGUGUCUAGGUGACCAGGGUGCCUUUUUCUGCCCACCUGGCACCUUUAGGUCAGAGCCAGGGGCAUCAGCACAGGAAGACUGUGAGCUCUGCCCUCCUGGCUACCACUGCCCAGACCCUGAGCUUCAGGGUCAUGCAAAUGUGUUUGCCAUCCCCUGCCCAGCUGGAUCUGAGUGCCCAGCAGGUGCUGUGGCUGAGGUCCCUUGUAGGCCCGGCUCCUACUGUGGGCCUCAGACGGGGCUGCCCCCACUCUGCCCCGGGGGGCUAUGCCUGCCCUGUCAGCUCCUCCACCUACAGUGGCCUGGGGCAGCGCUGUGUCUUUCCCCAUUACUGCCCCCCGGGCAGUGCCCAACCUCGUGCCUGCCCUGGGGGCUCCGAAGCCCUGAAUGGGACCAGCCUCAGGGUCUCUGAGGAGAUAUGCUGCCUGCCGCCUCUGUGAAGCGGGCACCUACCGCAGCCGGGCCCUGGAUGCUCUACCCUUACAGCCCUGCCCGCCUGGAUUCAGCUGCCCCCAGGGGUCAGAGAGCUACCAGGGCCAUUCCUGCCCGGUGGGCCACUACUGCCCUGCAGGGACUCGCAGCCCAAGGCCCUGCCCAGCAGGGACCUUCAGAAGCAGCAGCAGGGCCAGGGCAGCUGAAGACUGCCGGCUCUGCCCUGCGGACACCUUCAGUGCCCUGCCUGGACAGGUGGGCUGCCUCACCUGCCAGAGCGCCGCUUUCUCUCCACCAGG